rnacentral:sRNA from 1 species
UCCAAGAACUCUUGAGCAUCAGGUCGGC